GAAAGUGUUGUAAACUUGAUAUAGAUCAGCAAAGUAAUGAAUCAUACUAGGUCUAUUUGUUUGUUAAAGUUUACUUGGGCUGAAUUUUCAAGGAAAAAAUCUAAAUGACUUGAUAGAAGCAUAAUAUAAUUCUAAGCAAAAUUCACUAUCAUGGCAAAAAUCAUCGAUAUGUAAGUUCAUAUUGGUGCCUGAUGAUGGAUGGUAGAAAGGUUGUUCUUUCUGUAUCUAUAUUUUUCCUUUUCAGCCAAAUACAUAACUUGCUCCCAAUAAUUUCACU
rnacentral:misc_RNA from 1 species